rnacentral:rRNA from 1 species
GGCACGCCUAACAAUGCAAGUCGAACGCAGUAGCAAUACUGAGUGGCAAACGGGUGAGUAUAAUGUGGGAAUCUGCCUUUUGGUCUGGAAUAACACGGGGAAACUUGUGCUAAUACCGGAUAAGCCCUUACGGGGAAAGUUUUAAUGCCGAAAGAUGAGCCUGCACUUGAUUAGCUAGUUGGUAAGGUAAAAGCUUACCAAGGCAACGAUCAAUAGCUGUUCUUAGAGGAAGACCAGCCACAUUGGGACUGAGACACGGCCCAGACUCCUACGGGAGGCAGCAGUGGGGAAUCUUGCACAAUGGGGGAAACCCUGAUGCAGCGAUGCCGCGUGAGUGAAGAAGGCCCUUGGGUUGUAAAACUCUUUCGUCGGGGAAGAAAAUGACUGUACCCGAAUAAGAAGGUCCGGCUAACUUCGUGCC